UGGGGAAUAUUGGACAAUGGGCGCAAGCCUGAUCCAGCCAUGCCGCGUGAGUGAUGAAGGCCCUAGGGUUGUAAAGCUCUUUCACCGGUGAAGAUAAUGACAGUAACCGGAGAAGAAGUCCCGGCUAACUUCGUGCCAGCAGCCGCGGUAAUACGAAGGGGGCUAGCGUUGUUCGGAUUUACUGGGCGUAAAGCGCACGUAGGCGGACUAUUAAGUCAGGGGUGAAAUCCCGGGGCUCAACCCCGGAACUGCCUUUGAUACUGGUAGUCUUGAGUUCGAGAGAGGUGAGUGGAAUUCCGAGUGUAGAGGUGAAAUUCGUAGAUAUUCGGAGGAACACCAGUGGCGAAGGCGGCUCACUGGCUCGAUACUGACGCUGAGGUGCGAAAGCGUGGGGAGCAAACAGG
rnacentral:rRNA from 1 species